AAAGGGCAGCAGACGCAGUGGAUCUCCAGAGCGACCUCUGGAUCUGCGUCCACUUUCUCAGUUUGAGCAUCACAUGUGAAGUUUGCAUGAAGUCUACAGGCUUCCAGAAGAUCCUGGAGCUGCGCUGAGGAUUAUUCUCUGAUGUUUGGACCUUUUAGAAUGGAUCCAGAACCAAAAGAAAUCAACAGUGCAUGCACACCUGGACCUGGACACUCCCAGUUCUGUGAGGAUGUGGCGCCCCCUGUGGACGACAAGCGUGGAGCGUUCCAGAAUAAACCUGUUAAAAAGGAGGAACCUAUUGAUCAAGACUGUCUUUGUAAGACAAUAGGGGUGCAUAAGAGUCUACUGUAAGUCUGUGAGCUCUGCAGAUCCUCCUUCACCACUGAGUGUAGUGUCCAUGGUCCUCCUGUCUUUAUCCCCGAUACCCCCGUUCCCACGGGGGUCACUGACCGAGCCAUACAAACCCUUCCUCCUGGUCUAGAGGUCAGA